rnacentral:RNase_P_RNA from 1 species
GAAUUCUGUCGGAUAAUCGCGCGAACCUCUAAAGGGGAGUGAGGAAAGUCCGGACACCUAGGAAUGAAUGAACCGGAUAACAUCCGGAGUUUAUUUUUCGAAAGAAAAAUAAGCAUGGAAAGUGCAACAGAAAAUAUACCGCCUGAUACAAGUGGCAAAGUUGCUUUAGUGACCAAGCUAUAUUCGGGUAAGGGUGAAAUGGUGGGGUAAGAGCUCACCGCCUCGUUCGUAAGAAGGAGGGCAUUGUAAACCCUUCAUGGUGCAAUCUCAAGUAAGCAACCGUUAUGAGCCCAUUCCGCCAGGUUGCGGGUAGAGAGCAAAGAGUUUUAAGGUAACUUGAAACCAAGAUAAAUGGUUAUCCACUGCAUAAGGGGUUAACACUCGUUAGGCAGAGACAGAAUCCGGCUUAUAGACAGAAUUCAUUU